rnacentral:rRNA from 1 species
GACGAACGCUGGCGGCGCGCUUAACACAUGCAAGUCGAACGGAAAGGCCCUGCUUUUGUGGGGUGCUCGAGUGGCGAACGGGUGAGUAACACGUGAGUAACCUGCCCUUGACUUUGGGAUAACUUCAGGAAACUGGGGCUAAUACCGGAUAGGAGCUCCUGCUGCAUGGUGGGGGUUGGAGAGUUUCGGCGGUUGGGGAUGGACUCGCGGCUUAUCAGCUUGUUGGUGGGGUAGUGGCUUACCAAGGCUUUGACGGGUAGCCGGCCUGAGAGGGUGACCGGCCACAUUGGGACUGAGAUACGGCCCAGACUCCUACGGGAGGCAGCAGUGGGGAAUAUUGCACAAUGGGCGGAAGCCUGAUGCAGCAACGCCGCGUGCGGGAUGACGGCCUUCGGGUUGUAAACCGCUUUCGCCUGUGACGAAGCGUGAGUGACGGUAAUGGGUAAAGAAGCACCGGCUAACUACGUGCCAGCAGCCGCGGUGAUACGUAGGGUGCGAGCGUUGUCCGGAUUUAUUGGGCGUAAAGGGCUCGUAGGUGGUUGAUCGCGUCGGAAGUGUAAUCUUGGGGCUUAACCCUGAGCGUGCUUUCGAUACGGGUUGACUUGAGGAAGGUAGGGGAGAAUGGAAUUCCUGGUGGAGCGGUGGAAUGCGCAGAUAUCAGGAGGAACACCAGUGGCGAAGGCGGUUCUCUGGGCCUUUCCUGACGCUGAGGAGCGAAAGCGUGGGGAGCGAACAGGCUUAGAUACCCUGGUAGUCCACGCUGUAAACGGUGGGUACUAGGUGUGGGGUCCAUUCCACGGGUUCCGUGCCGUAGCUAACGCUUUAAGUACCCCGCCUGGGGAGUACGGCCGCAAGGCUAAAACUCAAAGGAAUUGACGGGGCCCCGCACAAGCGGCGGAGCAUGCGGAUUAAUUCGAUGCAACGCGUAGAACCUUACCUGGGUUUGACAUGGAUCGGGAGUGCUCAGAGAUGGGUGUGCCUCUUUUGGGGUCGGUUCACAGGUGUGCAUGCCUGUCGUCAGCUCGUGUCGUGAGAUGUUGGGUUAAGCCCCGCAACGAGCGCAACCCUUGUUCACUGUUGCCAGCACGUUAUGGUGGGGACUCAGUGGAGACCGCCGGGGUCAACUCGGAGGAAGGUGGGGAUGACGUCAAGUCCUCAUGCCCCUUAUGUCCAGGGCUUCACGCAUGCUACAAUGGCUGGUACAGAGAGUGGCGAGCCUGUGAGGGUGAGCGAAUCUCGGAAAGCCGGUCUCAGUUCGGAUUGGGGUCUGCAACUCGACCUCAUGAAGUCGGAGUCGCUAGUAAUCGCAGAUCAGCAACGCUGCGGUGAAUACGUUCCCGGG